rnacentral:rRNA from 1 species
GGCGAACGCUGGCGGCGUGCUUAACACAUGCAAGUCGAACGGAAAGGCCCUGCUUUUGUUGGUUUCUCGAGUGGCGAACGGGUGAGUAACACGUGAGUAACCUGCCCUUGACUUUGGGAUAACUUCAGGAAACUGGGGCUAAUACCGGAUAGGAGCUCCUGCUGCAUGGUGUGGGUUGGAAAGUUUCGGCGGUUGGGGAUGGACUCGCGGCUUAUCAGCUUGUUGGUGGGGUAGUGGCUUACCAAGGCUUUGACGGGUAGCCGGCCUGGGAGGGUGACCGGCGACAUUGGGACUGAGAGACGGCCCAGAAGCGUAAGGGAGGCAGCAGGGGGGAAUAUUGCAGAAUGGGCGGAAGCCUGAUGCAGAAACGCCGGGUGCGGGAUGACGGGCUUAGGGUUGUAAACCGCUUUCGACUGUGACGAAGAGGGAGUGACGGUAAUGGGUAAAGAAGCACCGGCUAACUACGUG